GACGAACGCUGGCGGCGUGCCUAACACAUGCAAGUCGAACGGAAAGGCCCUGCUCUUGUGGGGUGCUCGAGUGGCGAACGGGUGAGUAACACGUGAGUAACCUGCCCUUGACUUUGGGAUAACUUCAGGAAACUGGGGCUAAUACCGGAUAGGAUCUCCUGCUGCAUGGUGGGGGUUGGAAAGUUUCGGCGGUUGUGGAUGGACUCGCGGCGUAUCAGCUUGUUGGGGGGGUAGUGGCUUACCAAGGUGUGGACGGGUAGCCCGACUGAGAGGGUGACCGGCGACAUUGGGACCGAGGUGAGGCAGCGGCAGCGACGGGAGGGAGCAGGGCGGAAGAUUGAACGAGGGGCGGAGGGUUGAUGAAGCAAGGCUGCGUGCGGGAUAACGGCCUUAGGGGUGUAGAACGAAUGCGCAAGUGACGAAGCGUGAGUGGAGGUAAUGUGUACAGAAGCACCGGCUAAACACGUG
rnacentral:rRNA from 1 species